UACGUAGGGUGCAAGCGUUGUCCGGAAUUACUGGGCGUAAAGCGCGCGCAGGCGGACUGAUCAGUCUGGGGUGAAAUCUCCCGGCUCAACUGGGAGCGGUCCCUGGAUACUGUCAGUCUUGAGAGACCUAGAGGAGAGCGGAAUUCCCGGUGUAGUGGUGGAAUGCGUAGAUAUCGGGAAGAACACCAGUGGCGAAAGCGGCUCUCUGGGGGUUUUCUGACGCUGAGGCGCGGAAAGCGUGGGGAGCGAACCGG
rnacentral:rRNA from 1 species